UGUGCACUUGUGCCGUAACUGCUAUGUGUGUGCCCAUUACUGCCAUGGGGAUAACACUUAUCAUAAUAUUGAAGUGUUGGUGGCAUAGUACUGUACAUGGUUUUGUGAUUAUAUGUAACGCGUUUGAGGUGCCGCGAUCUAGAGUGGUGCGGUGUAAGUACUGAGGUGCUGGUGGUUAUUAAUGUCUGUGCUGCAUAAAGACCGACUCGCACAAACACUUGUCAGGCAUGGUUUGCUUCCAUCUCCGACAUCCUUGCUCACGACACCACACGCUCACCGCGAGAUGGCAGCUGGUGCACCGAGCACCCAGCACCACAUUAUCAGUGUUGACAAUCAAAUCAAGGUGGCAAACAUAAUCAAAUUACUAAAGGGCACUAGUAAUCCCAUAAAGAAGCAUACAUACUGAAGAUUUUUUGUGUGUGCAGAGUACAGUAGCAUUUUUAAUUAAAAAAAUUCCUGUCAAGAUGGUCAUCUUGAAUGGAUGAAAGUUCCUGAACCACACCAGUGAAAACCUGCAGCAGCUUGUGUUCUGUGUGGUCAGCAUGUUCUGGGUCCCAGACGCACCCGUGGCAUUGUACCGUCACAUAAAAUUGUACGACCGCGUCUCGGUUUACGCUGCGGGUGCGGGUGGAAGACGGCGUCAACGCCCCGGCCCUGACGGACGUGGUAGUGGCGGUGAUGAACGUGAACGACCUUCAGCCCGUGUUCCAGCGAGGCAACUACUCCUUCGUGGUCACAGAGAACACCGACUGCUCGCACCCACUUGGCCAGGUGUCGGCGCUGGAUCCCGACCUGCCGCCCUCCGUCCACCAGAACAUCCUCUACUACUUGUCCCCCGACGAACAGCGGAACUUCACCAUUGACAGUCGCUCCGGCCAACUCUCCAUACGAGGCUGCCUAGACAGGGAGGCAAUCCGAG